UACGAGCGGCCCAAACGUUAUUCGGAUUUACUGGGCUUAAAGAGUUCGUAGGCGGUUCGGUAAGUGCGGUGUGAAAGCCCUCGGCUCAACCGAGGAAUUGCGCUUCAAACUGCCGGGCUCGAGGGAGAUAGAGGUGAGCGGAACUGAGGGUGGAGCGGUGAAAUGCGUUGAUAUCCUCAGGAACACCGGUGGCGAAAGCGGCUCACUGGAUCUCUUCUGACGCUGAGGCACGAAAGCUAGGGUAGCGAACGGG
rnacentral:rRNA from 1 species